rnacentral:rRNA from 1 species
GAUGAACGCUGGCGGCGUGCCUAAUACAUGCAAGUCGAUCGAACAGACGAGGAGUUCGCUCCUCUGUUGUUAGCGGCGGACGGGUGAGUAACACGUGGAUCACCUCCCUAUAAGACUGGGAUAACUUCGGGAAACCGGUGCUAAUACCGGUUACCCUGUUGAACCGCAUUGCCCCACAGUGAAAGACGGUCUUCCUGUCACUUAUAGAUGGCUCCCCGCUGCUUUAGCUAUUUGGUAAGGUAACGGCUUACCAAUGCAACGCUGCCUAGCCCACCUGAGAGGGUGAUCGGCCCCACUGGACCUUGGCCACGGUCCCGACUCCUACUUGAGCCGGCCUUAGGCAAUGUUCCACAAUGGGCGCAAUCCUGACGGAGCGACGCCGCGUGAGUGACGAAACUCUUCGCAUCGUAAGACUCUCUUAUUCGGGAAGACCGAAUGUGUACGUAACCAUGCCCGUCUUGACGGUACCUGAUCAGAAUGCCGCGCCUAACUUGGUG